ACCUUUUUGGAUCCGUGUAGAGAUUUCGUCAGAAGCCAAACGAUUGUGGCUGAUCAGACUUCCAAGAUAAGUGAAGUU
rfam:Schistosoma haematobium scaffold1305_2, whole genome shotgun sequence.